rnacentral:rRNA from 1 species
UGAAGCAGUAAUGAGGUUCAGAUAAGAAAAGAUGGGUAGCAAACAGGAUAGGAUACGCUAGUAGUACCACGACAUAAGACGAGAAAUUUUAGAAGAGGAGAGGUUCGACCAUUAGGGUAAAGCAGCUAACACAUAUAAACAUUUCACAUGGGGAGUGCAGUGGCAAGAAUAAGACUCAAAGAAAUAAACGAGGAACCGCACAAAAGAUGGAGUAUGAGGGUUAAAUAGAAGAUACGCGAAGAGCCUUACCUAGCCUUGACAAUGAUAGAAUACGAUGGAAACAUAGGAGGACCAAUUUAAUGGAGCAUGAAAACAGGUGCUGCACGGCUGUCGUCAGCUAAUGUCGAUGAGAUGUUGGGUUAAGUCCCGCAACGAACACAACCCUCGUCGUAAGUUUCUAACGGUUCGGCCGAGGACUAUAAGGAGACUGCAUUCGUAAAAGAGGAGGAAGGUGAGGUCGACGUCAAGUCAUCAUGGCCCUUACGGAUAGGGCGACACACGUGGUACAAUGGAUAGGACAAUGAGACGCAAUACCGUGAGGUGGAGCAAAUCUAUAAACCUAUUCUCAGUUCGGAUUGUAGUCUGCAACUCGACUACAUGAAGCUGGAAUCACUAGUAAUCGUAGAUCAGCCAUAAUACGGUGAAUACGUUCCCGGGUACUUGUACUCACCGCCCGUCACACCAUGGGAGUGGAUUUCACCCGAAGCGGGGAAAGCUAAACUGGCUACCCUCCUACGGUGGAAUCAGCGAAUGGGGGCACCCUCGUAACAAGGUA